rnacentral:rRNA from 1 species
GUAUACAAUCUGCCUUAUACUGGGGGAUAGCCUUUGGAAACGAAGAUUAAUACCCCAUAGUCUAUGAACGUGGCAUCCGAUCAUAGUAAAGGUUACGGUAUAAGAUGAGUAUGCGUCCUAUUAGUUAGUUGGUAAGGUAACGGCUUACCAAGACGACGAUAGGUAGGGGCCCUGAGAGGGGGAUCCCCCACACUGGUACUGAGACACGGACCAGACUCCUACGGGAGGCAGCAGUGAGGAAUAUUGGACAAUGGGGGCAACCCUGAUCCAGCCAUGCCGCGUGCAGGAAGACGGCCCUAUGGUUGUAAACUGCUUUUAUACAGGAAGAAACACUCUCACGUGUGAGAGCUUGACGGUACUGUAAGAAUAAGGACCGGCUAACUCCGUGCCAGCAGCCGCGGUAAUACGGAGGGUCCGAGCGUUAUCCGGAAUCAUUGGGUUUAAAGGGUCCGUAGCGGGCUAUUAAGUCAGAGGUGAAAGUUUGCGGCUCAACCGUAAAAUUGCCUUUGAUACUGGUAGUCUUGAAUUAAUAUGAAGUGGUUGGAAUGUGUAGUGUAGCGGUGAAAUGCAUAGAUAUUACACAGAACACCAAUUGCGA